rnacentral:rRNA from 1 species
UGGGGAAUAUUGCGCAAUGGGCGAAAGCCUGACGCAGCGACGCCGCGUGAGGGAUGACGGCCUUCGGGUUGUAAACCUCUUUCAGCAGGGACGAAGCGCAAGUGACGGUACCUGCAGAAGAAGCACCGGCCAACUACGUGCCAGCAGCCGCGGUAAGACGUAGGGUGCAAGCGUUGUCCGGAUUUAUUGGGCGUAAAGAGCUCGUAGGCGGCUCGUCGCGUCGAUGGUGAAAUCUCCUCGGCUUAACCGGGAGGUUGCCAUCGAUACGGGCGGGCUAGAGUGCGGUAGGGGAGACUGGAAUUCCUGGUGUAGCGGUGAAAUGCGCAGAUAUCAGGAGGAACACCGGUGGCGAAGGCGGGUCUCUGGGCCGAUACUGACGCUGAGGAGCGAAAGCGUGGGGAGCGAACAG